GCCUCAGUAGCCCAGUGGUAGAGCGUUUGCCUAGUAUUCAUCACGAAUGCCAGCAAAAGGUCCAGUGUUCGACUCACUGUUGAGGCA
rnacentral:tRNA from 1 species